GGUUAAGCGACUAAGCGUACACGGUGGAUGCCCUGGCAGUCAGAGGCGAUGAAGGACGUGCUAAUCUGCGAUAAGCGUCGGUAAGGUGAUAUGAACCGUUAUAACCGGCGAUUUCCGAAUGGGGAAACCCAGUGUGAUUCGUCACACUAUCAUUAACUGAAUCCAUAGGUUAAUGAGGCGAACCGGGGGAACUGAAACAUCUAAGUACCCCGAGGAAAAGAAAUCAACCGAGAUUCCCCCAGUAGCGGCGAGCGAACGGGGAGCAGCCCAGAGCCUGAAUCAGUGUGUGUGUUAGUGGAAGCGUCUGGAAAGGCGCGCGAUACAGGGUGACAGCCCCGUACACAAAAAUGCACAUGCUGUGAGCUCGAUGAGUAGGGCGGGACACGUGGUAUCCUGUCUGAAUAUGGGGGGACCAUCCUCCAAGGCUAAAUACUCCUGACUGACCGAUAGUGAACCAGUACCGUGAGGGAAAGGCGAAAAGAACCCCGGCGAGGGGAGUGAAAAAGAACCUGAAACCGUGUACGUACAAGCAGUGGGAGCACGCUUAGGCGUGUGACUGCGUACCUUUUGUAUAAUGGGUCAGCGACUUAUAUUCUGUAGCAAGGUUAACCGAAUAGGGGAGCCGAAGGGAAACCGAGUCUUAACUGGGCGUUAAGUUGCAGGGUAUAGACCCGAAACCCGGUGAUCUAGCCAUGGGCAGGUUGAAGGUUGGGUAACACUAACUGGAGGACCGAACCGACUAAUGUUGAAAAAUUAGCGGAUGACUUGUGGCUGGGGGUGAAAGGCCAAUCAAACCGGGAGAUAGCUGGUUCUCCCCGAAAGCUAUUUAGGUAGCGCCUCGUGAAUUCAUCUCCGGGGGUAGAGCACUGUUUCGGCAAGGGGGUCAUCCCGACUUACCAACCCGAUGCAAACUGCGAAUACCGGAGAAUGUUAUCACGGGAGACACACGGCGGGUGCUAACGUCCGUCGUGAAGAGGGAAACAACCCAGACCGCCAGCUAAGGUCCCAAAGUCAUGGUUAAGUGGGAAACGAUGUGGGAAGGCCCAGACAGCCAGGAUGUUGGCUUAGAAGCAGCCAUCAUUUAAAGAAAGCGUAAUAGCUCACUGGUCGAGUCGGCCUGCGCGGAAGAUGUAACGGGGCUAAACCAUGCACCGAAGCUGCGGCAGCGACGCUUAUGCGUUGUUGGGUAGGGGAGCGUUCUGUAAGCCUGUGAAGGUGUACUGUGAGGUAUGCUGGAGGUAUCAGAAGUGCGAAUGCUGACAUAAGUAACGAUAAAGCGGGUGAAAAGCCCGCUCGCCGGAAGACCAAGGGUUCCUGUCCAACGUUAAUCGGGGCAGGGUGAGUCGACCCCUAAGGCGAGGCCGAAAGGCGUAGUCGAUGGGAAACAGGUUAAUAUUCCUGUACUUGGUGUUACUGCGAAGGGGGGACGGAGAAGGCUAUGUUGGCCGGGCGACGGUUGUCCCGGUUUAAGCGUGUAGGCUGGUUUUCCAGGCAAAUCCGGAAAAUCAAGGCUGAGGCGUGAUGACGAGGCACUACGGUGCUGAAGCAACAAAUGCCCUGCUUCCAGGAAAAGCCUCUAAGCAUCAGGUAACAUCAAAUCGUACCCCAAACCGACACAGGUGGUCAGGUAGAGAAUACCAAGGCGCUUGAGAGAACUCGGGUGAAGGAACUAGGCAAAAUGGUGCCGUAACUUCGGGAGAAGGCACGCUGAUAUGUAGGUGAAGUCCCUCGCGGAUGGAGCUGAAAUCAGUCGAAGAUACCAGCUGGCUGCAACUGUUUAUUAAAAACACAGCACUGUGCAAACACGAAAGUGGACGUAUACGGUGUGACGCCUGCCCGGUGCCGGAAGGUUAAUUGAUGGGGUUAGCGCAAGCGAAGCUCUUGAUCGAAGCCCCGGUAAACGGCGGCCGUAACUAUAACGGUCCUAAGGUAGCGAAAUUCCUUGUCGGGUAAGUUCCGACCUGCACGAAUGGCGUAAUGAUGGCCAGGCUGUCUCCACCCGAGACUCAGUGAAAUUGAACUCGCUGUGAAGAUGCAGUGUACCCGCGGCAAGACGGAAAGACCCCGUGAACCUUUACUAUAGCUUGACACUGAACAUUGAGCCUUGAUGUGUAGGAUAGGUGGGAGGCUUUGAAGUGUGGACGCCAGUCUGCAUGGAGCCGACCUUGAAAUACCACCCUUUAAUGUUUGAUGUUCUAACGUGGACCCGUAAUCCGGGUUGCGGACAGUGUCUGGUGGGUAGUUUGACUGGGGCGGUCUCCUCCUAAAGAGUAACGGAGGAGCACGAAGGUUGGCUAAUCCUGGUCGGACAUCAGGAGGUUAGUGCAAUGGCAUAAGCCAGCUUGACUGCGAGCGUGACGGCGCGAGCAGGUGCGAAAGCAGGUCAUAGUGAUCCGGUGGUUCUGAAUGGAAGGGCCAUCGCUCAACGGAUAAAAGGUACUCCGGGGAUAACAGGCUGAUACCGCCCAAGAGUUCAUAUCGACGGCGGUGUUUGGCACCUCGAUGUCGGCUCAUCACAUCCUGGGGCUGAAGUAGGUCCCAAGGGUAUGGCUGUUCGCCAUUUAAAGUGGUACGCGAGCUGGGUUUAGAACGUCGUGAGACAGUUCGGUCCCUAUCUGCCGUGGGCGCUGGAGAAUUGAGGGGGGCUGCUCCUAGUACGAGAGGACCGGAGUGGACGCAUCACUGGUGUUCGGGUUGUCAUGCCAAUGGCACUGCCCGGUAGCUAAAUGCGGAAGAGAUAAGUGCUGAAAGCAUCUAAGCACGAAACUUGCCCCGAGAUGAGUUCUCCCUGACCCUUUAAGGGUCCUGAAGGAACGUUGAAGACGACGACGUUGAUAGGCCGGGUGUGUAAGCGCAGCGAUGCGUUGAGCUAACCGGUACUAAUGAACCGUGAGGCUUAACCUU
rnacentral:rRNA from 1 species